GUGUCUUUAAAGGAUUGCCAUUUAAUGCCAUUCAAGAUCUACUAAGCAUCAUUUUUGCAUGACUACUGCAAAAGGAUUACUUUACAGAUACCAGUUCCUUUGUCAAGAGCAUACUUUGGACCCUGUUUUCAGAAAGCAGGGCACUCUUUAAUGAAGAAACAACAGAGCUGUUAAACACAUUGAGACACAGAAGAUUCUAGUGACCGAGGAUGGCUUCCUCUUGGAAACUAAUGCUGUUUCUGUCAGUCACCAUGUGUCUUUCAGAAUAUUCAAAAGCUCUUCCUGGUCUCUCCACUUCAUAUGCUGCUUUGUUAAGAAUUAAGAAGAGUUCAUCUUCAUCUCUCUUUGGUUCCAAAACCAUACCACGAUACAGCAGCUCUUCAUUAGGAACACUGAGUGCUUCUUCACCCAGCUGGCGAGGGGCAGCUCAGAAUUAUUAUUCCCCCAUCAAUCUUUAUCAUUCCUCAGAUGCCUUCAAACAAGAUGAAAGUGUGGACUAUGGGCCAGUUUUUGUGCAAGAACCAGAUGAUAUUAUUUUUCCAACUGAUUCUGAUGAAAAGAAGGUAGCAUUGAAUUGUGAAGUUCGUGGCAAUCCAGAUCCCAGUUACAGAUGGCUUCGAAAUGGAACAGAAAUAGAUCUGGAAAGUGAUUAUCGCUACAGUUUGAUAGAUGGCACUUUCAUUAUAAGCAAUCCAAGUGAAGCAAAGGAUUCUGGUCAUUAUCAGUGUCUAGCAACCAACACUUUGGGGAGUAUUCUUAGUAGAGAAGCUACACUUCAGUUUGCCUAUCUGGGAAAUUUUAGUGGCCGGACAAGAAGUGCAGUCUCUGUGAGGGAAGGCCAGGGUGUCGUUCUGAUGUGCUCUCCUCCACCACAUUCACCAGAGAUCAUCUAUAGCUGGGUAUUUAAUGAGUUCCCUUCCUUUGUGGCGGAAGACAGCCGGCGGUUCAUUUCCCAGGAGACAGGCAACCUUUAUAUUUCUAAAGUCCAAACAUCAGAUGUUGGCAGCUAUAUUUGUCUGGUGAAAAACACAGUGACGAAUGCUAGAGUCCUUAGUCCUCCAACGCCACUCACUCUGCGUAAUGAUGGUGUGAUGGGAGAAUAUGAGCCGAAAAUUGAGGUCCAUUUUCCUUUCACGGUUACAGCUGCUAAAGGAACAACUGUUAAGAUGGAAUGCUUUGCACUUGGCAACCCCGUUCCAACAAUCACAUGGAUGAAGGUUAAUGGUUAUAUUCCUAGUAAGGCACGUCUGCGGAAAUCUCAGGCAGUGCUGGAAAUACCGAAUGUACAGCUGGAUGAUGCAGGCAUUUAUGAGUGCAGAGCUGAAAACUCACGUGGAAAAAAUUCCUUUCGUGGACAAUUACAAGUAUACACCUACCCACACUGGGUAGAAAAACUGAAUGAUACUCAGUUAGACAGUGGGAGCCCUCUCCGUUGGGAAUGUAAAGCUACUGGAAAACCCAGACCCACGUAUCGUUGGCUGAAGAAUGGAGUACCCCUCUCACCUCAGAGUAGGGUUGAGAUGGUUAAUGGAGUAUUGAUGAUCCACAAUGUGAAUCAAUCAGAUGCUGGAAUGUAUCAGUGUUUGGCUGAAAAUAAGUAUGGAGCCAUUUACGCUAGUGCUGAGCUGAAGAUUCUAGCUUCAGCUCCCACUUUUGCACUGAAUCAACUGAAGAAAACAAUAAUUGUUACCAAAGACCGAGAAGUUGUCAUAGAGUGCAAACCCCAAGGCUCUCCAAAACCAACCAUCUCUUGGAAGAAAGGAGACAGAGCAGUUAGAGAAAACAAAAGAAUAGCUAUUCUUCCAGACGGGAGUCUACGGAUCCUAAAUGCUUCCAAAUCAGAUGAGGGAAAAUACGUUUGCCGAGGGGAAAACGUCUUUGGUUCUGCUGAAAUUAUAGCUUCGCUAUCUGUAAAAGAACCUACAAGGAUAGAACUUACUCCUAAAAGAACAGAAUUGACAGUGGGAGAAAGCAUUGUCCUUAACUGCAAAGCAAUUCAUGAUGCUAGUUUGGAUGUCACUUUCUACUGGACUCUGAAAGGACAGCCUAUUGAUUUCGAGGAAGAGGGUGGACAUUUUGAAAGCAUCAGGGCCCAAGCAUCAUCUGCAGAUUUAAUGAUCAGGAACAUCCUUCUGAUGCAUGCUGGGAGAUAUGGCUGCAGGGUACAGACCACAGCAGACAGUGUGUCAGAUGAGGCAGAACUUCUUGUUAGGGGUGAGUAUGCUAAUAGUGCAGUCUGAAGACAUGAUCACCAUAAAUUAUCAUACAAAGGAAUGUAAAUGCAUGGACUUUGAGCACAUCAGUACUGUGCAUUUUACUUUCAAUUUUACGAUAUAUGUUAUUUUUGCUUAACCUAUUGCCUUUGAAAAAAUUACAUGGAAAACUGCUCCUUAGUAACAGACGAAAACCACCGAACUAACUUCAGAGUCCAAAACACCUUUAGUAGUAAGUUCUCACGAAGUGUUUAACCUAAUGCCAAGGAAAUAAUCUAAACAGUUGAGCUACUAAGUCACUUGGACUACAGAGAUGAAAUUUGUUUGUGUGUAUAUAUGUUUUUCAAAUGAAAAGCUAGUGGAACCCCCAGGCAUUUUUUUCUUCCCCUACUUCUAAGUUGGGAUUCCAAAAACAGAAAAACUGCAUGUGUAAGAUGGUGGCAUUUGCAAUUGUUAAGUGACAAGGAUUUUUUUAAAGUCUGAAAAUGUCAACAUACAACCUCUCUGUGAAGAAAUGACAGUUAAAUGGUUUCCAAUUAUGAAACAGUACACCAAAUUCUGCAAUCCUAGGAAGCUACAUCUUAAGCAAAUGACUAGAGCACCCAUUUCCUUUAGCACAGUAUUCCACAGUAUGGG
rnacentral:sRNA from 1 species